rnacentral:tRNA from 1 species
ACCUGGGUGGCUUAGUCGGUUAAGCGUCUGACUUCAGCUCAGGUCAUGAUCUCACAGUUUGUGAGUUUGAGCCCCACAUCGGGCU